UACGAAGGGAGCUAGCGUUGUUCGGAAUUACUGGGCGUAAAGCGCGCGUAGGUGGUUAUACAAGUCAGAGGUGAAAUCCCACGGCUCAACCGUGGAACUGCCUUUGAAACUGUAUAGCUUGAGUUCGGAAGAGGAGAGUGGAAUUCCUAAUGUAGAGGUGAAAUUCGUAGAUAUUAGGAGGAACACCAGUGGCGAAGGCGACUCUCUGGUCCGAUACUGACACUGAGGCGCGAAAGCGUGGGUAGCAAACAGG
rnacentral:rRNA from 1 species